UACGUAGGUGGCGAGCGUUAUCCGGAAUGAUUGGGCGUAAAGGGUGCGUAGGCGGCCUGCUAAGUCUGGAGUGAAAGGUACCGGCUCAACCGGUACAGGCUCUGGAAACUGGCGGGCUAGAGAGCAGGAGAGGGCGGUGGAACUCCAUGUGUAGCGGUAAAAUGCGUAGAUAUAUGGAAGAACACCAGUGGCGAAGGCGGCUCUCUGGUCUGCAACUGACGCUGAGGCUCGAAAGCAUGGGUAGCGAACAGG
rnacentral:rRNA from 1 species